AUUUUGUACGAACAAUCUGAAAGACAGGUACAUGGGGUGAGUGCAAAUGUGUGCUGGAGAAGAACAGCUCAUCUAGGUACCAAGAGAAGGGGUUAGUGCAAAACUGCAAAUACCUCCAAAUUCCUGCCCUGCAUAAUCAACUUCACUGAAGAGAGUGGACCAUCCCAAGACAUUCGGACAGAGAGUGAAGCAUUAUUGC